rnacentral:rRNA from 1 species
UGGGGAAUAUUGCACAAUGGGCGAAAGCCUGAUGCAGCAACGCCGCGUGCGGGAUGACGGCCUUCGGGUUGUAAACCGCUUUCACCUGUGACGAAGCGAGAGUGACGGUAGCAGGAGAAGAAGGACCGGCUAACUACGUGCCAGCAGCCGCGGUGAUACGUAGGGUCCGAGCGUUGUCCGGAAUUAUUGGGCGUAAAGGGCUUGUAGGCGGUCCGUCGCGUCAGAAGUGAAAACUCAGGGCUUAACCCUGAGCCUGCUUUUGAUACGGGCGGACUAGAGGGAUGCAGGGGAGAACGGAAUUCCUGGUGGAGCGGUGGAAUGCGCAGAUAUCAGGAGGAACACCGGUGGCGAAGGCGGUUCUCUGGGCAUUACCUGACGCUGAGAAGCGAAAGCGUGGGGAGCAAACAG